rnacentral:rRNA from 1 species
GACGAACGCUGGCGGCGCGCUUAACACAUGCAAGUCGAACGGAAAGGCCUGCUUUCCCUUGUGGAUUGCGGGUACUCGAGUGGCGAACGGGUGAGUAACACGUGAGUGAUCUGCCCCCAACUUGGGUAUAAGCCUGGGAAACUGGGUCUAAUUCCCGAUAGGACUGCAGGGUGGUGCCUGUGGUGGAAAACGAUUUUCUAGUGGUUGGGGAUGAGCUCGCGGCCUAUCAGCUUGUUGGUGGGGUAAUGGCCUACCAAGGCGGCGACGGGUAGCCGGCCUGAGAGGGUGGACGGGCACAUUGGGACUGAGAUACGGCCCAGACUCCUACGGGAGGCAGCAGUGGGGAAUAGUGCACGAUGGGCGGAAGCCUGAUGCAGCGACGCCGCGUGGGGGAUGACGGCCUUCGGGUUGUAAACUCCUUUCGACCGCGAGGAAGCCACCUGGUUGGAAGGGUGGUGACGGUAGUGGUAGAAGAAGCACCGGCUAACUACGUG